rnacentral:rRNA from 1 species
UACGUAGGGUGCAAGCGUUAUCCGGAAUUAUUGGGCGUAAAGAGCUCGUAGGCGGUUUGUCGCGUCUGCUGUGAAAACCCGAGGCUCAACCUCGGGCCUGCAGUGGGUACGGGCAGACUAGAGUGCGGUAGGGGAGAUUGGAAUUCCUGGUGUAGCGGUGGAAUGCGCAGAUAUCAGGAAGAACACCCGUGGCGAAGGCGGCUCUCUGGUACGUGACUGACGCUGAGACGCGAAAGCGUGGGGAGCGAACAGG